CGGGAGACGCCGCCGUGGCGACGCCGCGCGGCGGUAACCAUGGUAACGAGCGCUUCGCGGCGGCGCUUUACGGCGGGCCCCGCUUCUGAGGGGGCCCCGCGGGGGUUUUGGGGUCCCCGGGCGGUUUUGGGGUCCCCAGGGCGGUUUUGGGGGUCCCCGGGGUGUUCUUAGGGGUCCCCGGGAUGAUUUUGGGGUGCCCGGGGUGGUUCUAGGGGGUCGCAGGGCGGUUUUAGAGGUCUCCGGGGAUGAUUUUGGGAACACCCGGGGUGAUUUUGGGGGUCCCCGAGGUGAUUUUGGGGCUCCCCCGGCGUCUUUGGGCACUUCCGGGACGGUUCCCAUGGCAACGCCCCCCCGGCCCCGCCGGUCGCCAUGGCGACGCGCCGCGCUUUGCGACAGCGCCGUCCUUUGCGACGUAAAGCCUCAGCCGCGCGCUUUACGGCCGGAGCCGCGAGAGGGAACGGGGAGGGAAAACGGGAGUGACGUCAUCAGGGCCGAGGCAAUGACGUCACUGGGGCAGCGUGUGACGUCACGGCGCUCACUCACAGCCGGGGCCGCGUUUUGGGGUUUUUUUGGUGGGUUUUUUUUGUGUUUGUAUUUUUUUUUCCAUUUUUUAUUUUAUUUUAUUUCGGCUUUGGGGUUUUUUGGGUUUUUUUUUUUUGUUUUGUUUUUGGUUUUGUUUUGUUUUUCCGGGGGGCGCCCCUCCCCCCACCCCACCCCCCCACACCGCUCCCCUCCCCCACCGCGCCCCUCCCCCCGCUUAAAAAACGCUGCGAGAUAAGAAACGACCCCGGGGGGGGAGGGGCUGGGGGUCCCUGGGGGGAAUUUGGGGUCCCCUGGGGGAAUUUGGGGUCCCCUGGGGGAAUUUUGGGGUCCCUGAAGGAUUUUUGGGGUCCCUGGGGGGAAUUUUGGGUCCCUUGAGGGGAUUUGGGGGUCCCUGGGGGGAAUUUUGGGGGGUCCUGGGGGGGUCCCUGAGGUGGCCCAAGGGUCCCUGGGGUGGGGGAGGGGGGGGAAACCCCAAAGGGAUGGGGGAGGGGCAAGGGGGGACCCCGGGGAGGCGUCCCCGACCCAGUCUUAUCCCAGUGCUCCCAGUAAAACCCUGGAUGUGGCAGUGACCCCCAGGAGCAGCUCCCAUCCCUCCCAGUCCCUCCCAGUCUCUCCCAGUGUUCCCAGUGCUCCCAGUUCCCCCAGUUUGCCCGGUCAGAAGCCCUGGAUGUGGCAGUGACCCCCAGGAGCAGUUCCCAUCUCUCCCAGUCCCUCCCAGUGCUCCCAGUGUUCCCAGUUUGCCCGGUCAGAAGCCCUGGAUGUGGCAGUACGCCUCCAGGCU